rnacentral:rRNA from 1 species
GGGGGGGCGGGGGGGGGGGCGGGUGCAUGCGGGUGGCGCGGACGGACGGGGAGCGGGCGUCUCGGGUGUGAGCGGCGGACGGGUGGGUAGCGGGUGGCGCACCUACUCAUAAGGCGGGCGUGACGUCGGGAGUCCGGAGCUGAGACCGGGUAAUAGUUUGAACCGCCUGGUUCAAAGUUGCCAGCCGGUGUGGCUGUCACUUAUAGAUGCAUCCGCGCUGCAUUAGCCAGUUGGUAAGGUAGCGGCUUACCAAGUCAACGAUGCAUAGCCGACCUGAGAUGGUGAUCGGCCACACUGGAACUGAGACAAGGUCCAGACUCCUACGGGAGGCAGCAGUAGGGAAUCUUCCGCCAAGGGCGAAAGCGUGACGGAGCAACGCCGCGUGAGUGAUGAAGUUCUUCGGAUCGUACAACUCUGUUAUUAGGGAAGAACAUAUGUGUAAGUAACUGUGCACAUCUUGACGGGACCUAAUCAGAAAGCCACGACUAACUACGUG